rnacentral:misc_RNA from 1 species
GAGUUUCAUUUCUGUUUCUACAAUGUCUUCUCCUGCCGAAUUUUACAACUCUCUUCCACCUAUAAGUAAGGCUUAUGGAACUCUGUGUCUUUUGGCAACUACCGCCUUUCAACUUGGCUUGUACGAUCCCGGGCUUAUUGCCUUGGAUUACGGACUUGUAUUCAAGCAUUUUCAGGUGUGGAGGCUAUUCACAAACUUCUUCUUCCUAGGAAAAUUCUCUAUCAAU